AGCAAGGCUCCCGUGUGUCCUGACAGGGCCUGACUCUGUCCCCUGGGGCUGGGGGAGCUGUCCCAGGGCAGGGAGGGCCAGGGCUGGCAGGGGCUGCUCAGGGAUGGGUUUGGCCCGUGUCCCUCGAAGCAGCGACUGCCCAAGCAGCUGCGCUGGCCCCGGGCUCUCCUCCCGGCCUGCUGGGCUUUGUUGGGUGGCACAGCCUGUGCCAAGGGGCGGCAAGGGGCCUGCAGGCCCCAGCUCUGGGGGAAACAGAGAACGUCCUGGCCGUAUCCACUGUGCUGCCAGCUCGGCAGUGCAGCACAGCACGGGCUCACGCUCCCCACUGCUCCCACAGACGUUAUCACUGAAACAGGAAUAUUUGCCCCGGAUCCAGUGCGCCUCCCAAGAAUUGUCUGCCCCCAGGAUGUGCGCAGGUCCUGCAUGAUAGGCACGGUGGUGACACUGUUCACCGUGCCCCUCGUGCUGAUCGGCUGCUAUCUUGGCAUUCGGAAGCUGUACCAGAGCAGACGUGCUUUUUCCAGUUAUUUGAGAUAGUGAAUGAUGGCUGGACCAUCGAGGAUCUCGUCUCGACGGUGGUAGCUCUAUUUCCCUUCCUCUCUUUUCUCUCUAUUUCCGUUUUCUGUCCCUUCUAUCGCAUUUGCUGUUGGUACCUAAAUAAAGAUGCAUUUGUUGUGAUUAAACUGA